AGAGUUUGAUCCUGGCUCAGAACGAACGCUGGCGGCAGGCCUAACACAUGCAAGUCGAACGAUAAGCCACCUUCGGGUGGUGGACAGUGGCAGACGGGUGAGUAACGCGUGGGAACGUGCCUUUCGGUUCGGAAUAACCCAGGGAAACUUGGGCUAAUACCGGAUACGCCCUUCGGGGGAAAGAUUCAUUGCCGAAAGAUCGGCCCGCGUCGGAUUAGCUAGUUGGUGGGGUAAUGGCUCACCAAGGCGACGAUCCGUAGCUGGUCUGAGAGGAUGACCAGCCACACUGGGACUGAGACACGGCCCAGACUCCUACGGGAGGCAGCAGUGGGGAAUAUUGGACAAUGGGCGCAAGCCUGAUCCAGCCAUGCCGCGUGGGUGAAGAAGGCCUUAGGGUUGUAAACCCCUUUCAGCGGGGAAGAUAAUGACGGUACCCGCAGAAGA
rnacentral:rRNA from 1 species